GACGGAGGAUGCAAGUGUUAUCCGGAAUCACUGGGCGUAAAGCGUCUGUAGGUGGUCAAAUAAGUCAACUGUUAAAUCUUGAGGCUCAACCUCAAAAAUCGCAGUCGAAACUAUUAGACUAGAGUAUAGUAGGGGUAAAGGGGAAUUUCCAGUGGAGCGGUAGAAUGCGUAGAGAUUGGAAAGAACACCGAUGGCGAAGGCACUUUACUGGGCUAUUACUAACACUCAGAGACGAAAGCUAGGGUAGCAAAUGGG
rnacentral:rRNA from 1 species